rnacentral:rRNA from 1 species
AUUGAACGCUGGCGGCAGGCCUAACACAUGCAAGUCGAACGGUAGCACAGAGAGCUUGCUCUCGGGUGACGAGUGGCGGACGGGUGAGUAACGUCUGGGAAACUGCCCGAUGGAGGGGGAUAACUACUGGAAACGGUAGCUAAUACCGCAUAACGUCGCAAGACCAAAGUGGGGGACCUUCGGGCCUCACACCAUCGGAUGUGCCCAGAUGGGAUUAGCUAGUAGGUGGGGUAAUGGCUCACCUAGGCGACGAUCCCUAGCUGGUCUGAGAGGAUGACCAGCUACACUGGAACUGAGACACGGUCCAGACUCCUACGGGAGGCAGCAGUGGGGAAUAUUGCACAAUGGGCGCAAGCCUGAUGCAGCCAUGCCGCGUGUAUGAAGAAGGCCUUCGGGUUGUAAAGUACUUUCAGCGGGGAGGAAGGCGGUGAAGUUAAUAACUUCACCGAUUGACGUUACCCGCAGAAGAAGCACCGGCUAACUCCGUGCCAGCAGCCGCCGUAG